CCCUGCUUUUGUGGGGUGCUCGAGUGGCGAACGGGUGAGUAACACGUGAGUAACCUGCCCUUGACUUUGGGAUAACUUCAGGAAACUGGGGCUAAUACCGGAUAGGAGCUCCUGCUGCAUGGUGGGGGUUGGAAAGUUUCGGCGGUUGGGGAUGGACUCGCGGCUUAUCAGCUUGUUGGUGGGGUAGUGGCUUACCAAGGCUUUGACGGGUAGCCGGCCUGAGAGGGUGACCGGCCACAUUGGGACUGAGAUACGGCCCAGACUCCUACGGGAGGCAGCAGUGGGGAAUAUUGCACAAUGGGAGGAAGCCUGAUGCAGCAACGCCGCGUGCGGGAUGACGGCCUUCGGGUUGUAAACCGCUUUCGCCUGUGACGAAGCGUGAGUGACGGUAAUGGGUAAAGAAGCACCGGCUAACUACGUGCCAGCAGCCGCGGUGAUACGUAGGGUGCGAGCGUUGUCCGGAUUUAUUGGGCGUAAAGGGCUCGUAGGUGGUUGAUCGCGUCGGAAGUGUAAUCUUGGGGCUUAACCCUGAGCGUGCUUUCGAUACGGGUUGACUUGAGGAAGGUAGGGGAGAAUGGAAUUCCUGGUGGAGCGGUGGAAUGCGCAGAUAUCAGGAGGAACACCAGUGGCGAAGGCGGUUCUCUGGGCCUUUCCUGACGCUGAGGAGCGAAAGCGUGGGGAGCGAACAGGCUUAGAUACCCUGGUAGUCCACGCUGUAAACGGUGGGUACUAGGUGUGGGGUCCAUUCCACGGGUUCCGUGCCGUAGCUAACGCUUUAAGUACCCCGCCUGGGGAGUACGGCCGCAAGGCUAAAACUCAAAGGAAUUGACGGGGCCCCGCACAAGCGGCGGAGCAUGCGGAUUAAUUCGAUGCAACGCGUAGAACCUUACCUGGGUUUGACAUGGAUCGGGAGUGCUCAGAGAUGGGUGUGCCUCUUUUGGGGUCGGUUCACAGGUGGUGCAUGGCUGUCGUCAGCUCGUGUCGUGAGAUGUUGGGUUAAGUCCCGCAACGAGCGCAACCCUUGUUCACUGUUGCCAGCACGUUAUGGUGGGGACUCAGUGGAGACCGCCGGGGUCAAC
rnacentral:rRNA from 1 species